GCCUGUAAUCCCAGCUACUCAGGAGGCUGAGGCAGCAGAAUUGCUUGAACCCAGGAGUUUGAGGCUACAGGAAGCCAUGUUCGUGCCACUGCACUCCAGCCUGGGUGACAGAGUGAAACUCUGUCUCAAAAAAAAAAAAUAGUU